rnacentral:lncRNA from 1 species
UGGACAAGGCAUUUUAACAUGAUAGAAAAUGUCCUUUCAGCCCAUUCCCAACUCAGCAGGCCGCUGGCAUGCACACACGCGCACCUCCAAGUGUGUGUCCCAUGCUCAUGUGGCUAUGCUGUCUCGUAGUCUCCAAGUCACUGAGGGUCCCAUUGCUGGGGCUAGGUGUGGUGUGCAUGGUUCUUUCCAAGGAGAUGGAGGGAUGCCAGCCCUUUGCCUGGUGAGGUUUGGGACGAGGUCUUGCCGUAACCAGAUGCUAUGCUGCAAUGCCAGGUGUGGGCGCUGGAAGUCUGUGUAACCCCUUAGUGUCCUUUCCCACCCCUUCCCCACCCCUUUAGGCUAGAAUGUAAUGCCUUUGGCUCUUCUAGGUCCCACUGACGUAUUGAAGCAGAAUGUGCAUGUUAACAGGAACCCAUGAUUUCUGUGCUCAGCACCGUUCAGAACCUGCUUCCUUGAUUGCACAUAUUACAUUCCUACUGAAGAAGGGGGGAAAAGCAGGUAAAACAGUGGCAGAGUAAUGGCUCUGAAUCAAAGGAAACAGCCAGGUGGGAGGACAGGACAAGGUAAAGACAGCAUGGCCAGUGAGGCCUCUCUCUAGGAGGAGCUAGCCUGUGCUCACCUGGGACCAUGUUGCACAGAGGGUGUUGUACUCCACACUCCCCAGCACACCACGAUUCCCAGCCUCCUUCUAAGACUCUCCCGAGCCCAGCCUGGGUCUGGCUGCUUCCCCCGAAGCAGGGCUGGCUUGCUGCUCUUUCCCACAGCACAGCC